UCUGGNUCAGCUGGGGGCGUGCGGUGGGUACGGGCUGGCUUGAGUGCGGUAGGGGAGACUGGAACUCCUGGUGUAGCGGUGGAAUGCGCAGAUNUCAGGAGGAACACCGGUGGCGAAGGCGGGUCUCUGGGCCGUUACUGACGCUGAGGAGCGAAAGCGUGGGGAGCGAACAGGAUUAGAUACCCUGGUAGUCCGCGCUGUAAACGUUGGGCACUAGGUGUGGGGGGCCUUUUCCGGGUUUUCCGCGCCGUAGCUAACGCAUUAAGUGCCCCGCCUGGGGAGUACGGCCGCAAGGCUAAAACUCAAAGGAAUUGACGGGGGCCCGCACAAGCGGCGGAGCAUGCGGAUUAAUUCGAUGCAACGCGAAGAACCUUACCAAGGCUUGACAUGGGCUGGAUUGCUUCGGAGACGGGGUUUCCCUUUUUUGGGCUGGUUCACAGGUGGUGCAUGGUUGUCGUCAGCUCGUGUCGUGAGAUGUUGGGUUAAGUCCCGCAACGAGCGCAACCCUUGUCUCGUGUUGCCAGCACGUUGUGGUGGGGACUCGCGGGAGACUGCCGGGGUUAACUCGGAGGAAGGUGGGGAUGACGUCAAAUCAUCAUGCCCCUUAUGUCUUGGGCUUCACGCAUGCUACAAUGGCCGGUACAGUGGGUUGCGAUGCUGUGAGGCGGAGCGAAUCCCUGAAAGCCGGUCUCAGUUCGGAUCGGUGUCUGCAACUCGACACCGUGAAGUUGGAGUCGCUAGUAAUCGCAGAUCAGCAGCGCUGCGGUGAAUACGUUCUCGGGCCUUGUACACACCGCCCGUCACGUCAUGAAAGCUGGCAACACCC
rnacentral:rRNA from 1 species